UUACAGACAGACCGACCAACCCACCCUGUAGCUAUUGUGACACAAGGGAAAUGGCUUAUGCCACAACAGCUAAAGCAGCGCCCUGUGUGAGAUAAGGGAAGCCUAAAAGGAUGAGCUGCAAAAGAGGGCAGGACUCCUGUACCUUCAGCAGUGGGGUAGAAGAAAGAAUUUCAGCAGAUUUUCAGAAAAAGUGGUCCUGCAAACAGAAAUGAAGUUUGUGGAGGCAAUUUCAUUCCUUGCUGCUGCUGCUGCUGCUGCUGCUGCUGGGCACCACUUUUUAAUUUUUUUAACCCAUAAGAUACCCAAAUGAGGGGAAGGACUAUUGCCACACCUGUUGGGGUAGGACCUUGAGAGCUCUGAGGAUGAAGCACCAUUAUGGACCCCAGGUCCCCAGGAAACAGCUGCACAACCUGGGGCUCUGUCCAGGAACCCGAUUGUAUCACCAGCAGACUCUGGAUUGAGUGACGAGAACUCUGGGGAUGAAGAAUCCAAAGAAACACCUGAUCUAGAAGAACCACUGCCUGCAUCUCGCACAAAGGAUACUCCCCUGCCUAUGUCCUUGGACUCAGAGGAUGCCCUGGACGCAUCUCCAUUGGUUGAAGACCCACCUCUUUGCCAUCAGAGCCUGAGGUUACAAAAUAGAGCACAGCCCCUUUAAGUGGCCAAAGUCUAUGGAAGUAAGGUGGGGCUUGAAGCUGUAUCUGGGUGGGAGCAGGGCUCAUUCUACACUGAGCUGUUGCUGAAUCAACAUUGUUGCAAAGCUGUCCUACCUGAUGUUCCUAGCUUGUUUUCGUUUCUGGUCUUGGCUUCCUUUGACUAUGCUCUUUGCUUACCCCUGUGUGACCUUGUACUGACUCCUGGCUUUUGACCCACGACUUUGUUUGACUAUGCUCUUUGACUCCUGGUUUCAGAUCCUUGGCUCUGUUUGACUAUGCCUGUUCCUACCCCUGUGUGACUAUCCUUGGCACCAGAUCAUCGUCCAUGGACCAGAACAUGAUACUAUCCACCCCAGCAUAGCAUCUCUCCAGUACUUGUAUCUGGUGUCUACAUUAUAUUUCUUUUUAGAUUGCGAGUUCUUUGGGGCAGGGAACCAUUUUAGUCCCAGUCCUUUUUCAGGCCCAAUUCAAAUUGCCUGUUUGAACCUUUAAAACUCUAAGCGGCUUGGAACCAGCUUACUUGAGAGAGCACCAUGCCCCAUAUGUCCCUAACUAGACCUUGAGUCCUUUGUCAGAGGCCCUGUUCUGAGCACCCCUGCCAAAUGAGGUGAGGAGGAUGGCUACUAAGGAAAGGGCCUUUUUGGUGGUGGGACCCCAUUUAUGGAACAGCCUCCCCAGUGAGUCUUGGCUAACACCAUCACUUUGUUCUUUUAGAUGCAAGGUGAAAACCUUUCUGUUCUCCCAGGCCUCUUUUUAAAAAGCAUUUUUUAAAAAUGUUUUUGUAUUUUUUGUAAUCUUUUAUUUUGUUUUAAUGUGCUUUUAUUUAUAUGAUUUAAUUAUUAAACUGUUGUUUUAUUGCUUUA